GGGCCUGUAGAUCAGAGGGUUAGAGCAUGUGUCUACGAACCACGGUGUCGGGGGUUCGAAUCCCUCCUAGCCCA
rnacentral:tRNA from 1 species